UACGGGGGGGGCAAGCGUUGUUCGGAAUUACUGGGCGUAAAGGGCUCGUAGGCGGCCUACUAAGUCAGACGUGAAAUCCCCAGGCUCAACUUGGGAACUGCGUCUGAUACUGGAUGGCUUGAAUUCGGGAGAGGGAUGCAGAAUUCCAGGUGUAGCGGUGAAAUGCGUAGAUAUCUGGAGGAAUACCGGUGGCGAAGGCGGCAUCCUGGACCGACAUUGACGCUGAUGAGCGAAAGCUAGGGGAGCAAACGGG
rnacentral:rRNA from 1 species